rnacentral:lncRNA from 1 species
GGGGGGGGGGGGGGGGUGGAUACACAGGUGCGCGUUCAGCCGUAGGGACAACGAAGGCACCGCCUGGGCGCGGCCGCCCCCUCCUCUCGCCCCAUCUGACCCCAACAUCCAGGAGAGGUGCCCGCAAGGGACCGCGCCCUCCUUCCCCCGGGGGCGUGGGAGCCGCGCGACCACGGCUUAGCAGGUGACUGUGCCACCUGCCCGCAGCGGGAGACCCAGGUGAGGCGCCGCCAGGUAACAGCACCUGCCCUGCCGCCCCCACCUGCUGCUGCGCUCCCCCUUCCCCCGCCGUCCCCGCCUACCUUCGUGUCGGAGCCCCCAGGCCCGCGCUGCCCGGCCGGCCGGGGCGAGCCGAGCUGCCGGCGCCCGCACUCCGGCGGCUGCGGCUCAGCGGGAAGCCCCGGCGCUGCCCGGCUCGCCGCCCCGGAGCCGCUCCAUUGUGACGCGGCGCGCGCGGCCGGCCAAUGGGCGCGCGGCGGCGCGAACCGCUGACUAAGUUCGCGCGCGGAGGAGGAGCGGAGCGCGCGGGCUGCGCAGGCUGCGCAGGCGGGAGCCGGGGACGCGCAGCGCCGCCUCCGAGCCGCCCUUACCCGGAUCGCUCCGCCACCGGGCCCGAGAGUCCACCCGGCCUUGGGACGAACCGCGGGGGCCGGUGACUCACCCUCCUGCUGCACACAAAGCGCAGCUGCCACCUCCCGGAGCCAACGCCAUGCGGCCGCCCGGAUGCACUCGCCCAGCCUGGCAUCCGCGGUGCAUGGCAGCCACACGCCUCGCCAGGAGCUGGGGCUGCAUUCCAGAAACCCAGGAGCCGGGGCUUAUGGCUGUUCCCCAGGCGCUCCACCCCAGCAGAAGACCCCUGCCUUCUCACGCUCCAGGUGCAUCAUGGCCUCAGCUCCUGCUCUCAAAUCUGAAACCUGGCACAUCAGCAUCAUCUUGGCCCUUAAAGAACAUAUUUGGUGUCUUCCUCUUGCUUAUCUGCUCUGGACAUCAUCUUAAAAUAGUGGUUCAUCUUCUCGGCUCUUCAGACAAGCUGUAGAUUAGAGAAGCCAAAAUAAAAUGAUCUAAUUUUCUGCA